CACCUUGGGUUGGUUAAUGCUACACCAACAAGGUAGACAUACAUCCUGUGGAGUAGAACAUGAGCGAUAAAAUUAUUCACCUGACUGAC
rnacentral:sRNA from 1 species